UACAGAGGUCCCAAGCGUUGUUCGGAUUCACUGGGCGUAAAGGGUGCGCAGGUGGCUUGGCAAGUUCGACGUGAAAUCUCCGGGCUUAACCCGGAAAAUGCGUUGAAUACUGUUUGAGCUCGAGGUUUGGAGGGGGGACUGGAAUUCUCGGUGUAGCAGUGAAAUGCGUAGAUAUCGAGAGGAACACCAGUGGCGAAGGCGAGUCCCUGGACAACACCUGACACUGAGGCACGAAAGCCGGGGGAGCAAACAGG
rnacentral:rRNA from 1 species